UGAGGGUGUUAAAGGGAGAAGGAGAAGAAGAGUAGGGGGGUAUGGGGAAUAUUUCAGGGACCUAUGUGCGAAGAAACUUUAGAUCUGGGGGCUGUUUUGCAUGUUGGUCACGAUUUUCUUUUAUUUCCUAGAUUAAAUGGCUGCAAAAUUUGAAAAUGUGUAGAAAAUCGUAUAAAAUGAGAAAAAUACAAAACCAACUUUGUUAGACUCUCUAAGUUGAGUAGUUUCACAGAAAAAUAAUUUUGUGAAUGUCACUAUAGUAGUUAUUUCUCUAGGAUAUAUUUUGUGUUCAAGCCAAUAAAUGCACCAUAAAUCACCUAAAAAUGGUAAAAUGACAAAUCCACUUCUGAUAGCUCUGUAUGUUAAGCCUGUGCUAAAUAAAAUAGUUGUGACCCUAGUUAGAUUUUAACACACUGUUUGAGAAUAAACUUUGAAAC
rnacentral:lncRNA from 1 species